UGGGGAAUAUUGGACAAUGGGCGCAAGCCUGAUCCAGCCAUGCCGCGUGGAUGAUGAAGGCCCUAGGGUUGUAAAGUCCUUUUAACGGGGAAGAUAAUGACGGUACCCGUAGAAUAAGCCCCGGCUAACUUCGUGCCAGCAGCCGCGGUAAUACGAAGGGGGCUAGCGUUGCUCGGAAUUACUGGGCGUAAAGCGCACGUAGGCGGCUUCUUAAGUCGGAGGUGAAAUCCUGGAGCUCAACUCCAGAACUGCCUUCGAUACUGGGAAGCUUGAGUUCGGGAGAGGUGAGUGGAACUGCGAGUGUAGAGGUGAAAUUCGUAGAUAUUCGCAAGAACACCAGUGGCGAAGGCGGCUCACUGGCCCGAUACUGACGCUGAGGUGCGAAAGCGUGGGGAGCAAACA
rnacentral:rRNA from 1 species